UCUCUGAUAGUAUAUCGGUUAGUACACGCGCCUGUCAUGAAGGUACUCUUAGUGUUCACGCGCGAAAGCUGGGUUCGACUCCCAGUCAGAGAG